CUAUAGCUUGCAUGCAACACUUUAGUAAAGUCAAUUUUCUUGGACUUCAUAAGUAAAUAUCAAGGUAGGUUUAAUAAGUCUGACAUCAGGACCACCUGAAAAAUAAAGUAGCCAACAUAAACAUUUUGUUAAUGAAACAAGUAUUAAGAGUAUUUUUCCGGUUUUGGACUGGGGGGCACUCUUAUUUAAUAGCAAUUUUUUUAUCUAUUUCCAUUUUUUAUGUGUACGAGAACCCAAAGAGUUAGAGGCAUCAAGUUCCCCCCAAAGAUUUACAUAUUACUUAUGUGUUUGUAAAUAGAGUUCAUGUUCUUACAAGCAUCUUCUUUUUAAUUCAUAUGUCUGUGCCUGUACAUGGAUAUGUGCUUUUCAUGGCAGGUACCUGAGUGCAGACAUUUCAGACUCCUUUGGCUCUGGAGUUAUAGGCAGCAGUGAGCCACCACAUUAAGCUGCUGGGGGCAGAGCUUAGGUCUGAAAGAAUGUUAGAAUGUUAAGUGCUCUCCACAGCUGAGCUAUCUUUUUUACAGUGUUUCUGUUUCAAUUUUGCCAGUAUCUAAAGUGCUCCCCAGUAAUUUUUAAGCAUCUACACAUCCUUAAAUGCCUACUUGAUGUCUUUAAGAAAAUAAAACACAAACAAUGAAGGAAUACUCUAUUCUUCACUUAAUUAAAAAUGAAUUGGGAUGCCUGGAAAGGUAAUUUAGUAGUUCAGCUUGAACUUCAUCAUGCUUCAAAAUGUGUGUUAUAAUGUAAGUACAAACAUAUAAUGGGGAAAUUUGCAAUGUAUUCCAAAUGUGACAUACCAAAACUUUUAUCUAAUAUAGCGUUCAGUACCCAUCAGGAUAAAUGCCAUUAUCCAGGUUUACUUUUCUAAUUAUUUUUAGUUAUUUUACUCAUAGGAUCAUAACUCAAAAUACUCACGUUAAAUUUCGUCUUCUCCUUUGGGUCAUUGGCUAAUGCAUUACUUUUUGUUGAAUCAUAAAAUCCCAGAGUGUCUUAAAAUUCUUCAAAAAAUGUUCAUAAACCAUAAGUGCUGCUAGGAGUACAAAGGUGGAUAUGGAAACCCAGCACUCCUGAGAUUGGUACUGGGAAAAAUUGUCUUUUUCUUGUUUUCUUCUUGUUUAUCUGUUUAUUUGCAAAGGCCCUUAUAAAAUGCAAAGGCAGACAGAAGUGUUCUUACUCCUUUCUAUUUAGGAGUGUUCAAACUAUAACAUUCUUCCUGAAUAUCUUUUUCAUUUCCAUAAAUUGUUCAUUCAUUGUAGUUGUUCUUACGAGGAAAUUUCCAUGAAUGUAUACAUUGUUUACUUUAAAUAACUUGAAAACUCUUCAAAUAUUACUGUAAAAUAAUAUGCAUUGUAAUGCAAAAGUAUUAACUCUCAGGAAAAUAAUCCCUACGUGUAAUUAUCAGCUGAAAGAAUGAAAAACAUGUAUGUAUACAUGUAGGUAAAUUGUUCAUUUCUUCAAUUAAAAUACAACAAACAAUACUUCUAUAGAAAUUGGGUAUUUCAAGUGUUAAAUUACAUGUAUCUUAAGCUAAAAUCCUUAUGCUCUGUUCAUUGAUAGAUCUGGUAAUUUUUAUAUAAACAAUCUAAUUAACAUUUUCAGAACCAGAAAAUUUUAGUUGUGAACUGUAAAAUUUGAAAAUAAUUAUACAUUCUUCUAACUCCUGUUAUUUUUUUUUGUAGCAAGGUGUUCAGUUUUUUUUUUGUUUGUUUGUUUUCUUCUGACACUUGGUCUUAAGACUCCAGGCUGACCUCAAACUCGGUAUGUAGCUGAGUAGAAUAUUGGCAGGUGAUGAUGUAAGUGUUCCUCAUCAAGCCCAACUCUACAUGUUGUUUUAUGUUGCCUUUAAUGUCAUCCAGGCUACUUUUUCUUGCAGUACAUUUGAGGGAACGCUAGAUGUUUACCUUUAAUAAUCCUAGAUGAGAAAUAUAUAAAAAUUGAACAAGUUUUUAAAAUUUUUUACAGUAAAAAUGUAGAAAUACAUAAAUAAAUUUAGAAAAAAGUUACAGGCUCUUCAAUAUCAUAAAACGUUUCUAGUAAUUGCAUGGAGAUUGCAGAAUAAUCUGAAUUAAAAAUAACAAAUUAAUUGUGUAAUUUGUAAAGUUUGAAUAUGGGUGUAAACAAAA
ensembl:lncRNA